rnacentral:rRNA from 1 species
AACGAACGCUGGCGGCAGGCCUAACACAUGCAAGUCGAACGAGUAGAGGACCGGUGAGUAAUGUCGGGGAAACUGCCUGAUGGAGGGGCAUAACUACUGGAAACGGUAGUUAGUACCGGAUGCAAUCGGAUGCGUCCAGUUGGGAUUAGCUAGUUGGUGGGGUAACGUCACACCUAGGCGACGAUCCCUAGCUGGUCUGAGAGGAUGACCGGCCACACUGGGACUGAGACACGGUCCAAACUCCUACGGGAGGCAGCAGUGGGGAAUAUUGCACAAUGGGCGAAAGCCUGAUGCAGCCAUGCCGCGUGUGUGAAGAAGGCGUUCGGGUUGUAAAGUACUUUCGGCGGGGAGGCGUUACCCGCAGAGGAAGCACCGGCUAACUCCGUGCCAGCAGCCGCGGUAAUAC